AUUUAUAUAGUUUAAAAAAACAUUAUAUUUUCAUUAUAAAAAUAAGAUAUUUUUCUUUAUAAAUA
rnacentral:tRNA from 1 species